CAGUCGCCACGGUAAUACGUAGGGUGCAAGCGUUAAUCGGAAUUACUGGGCGUAAAGCGUGCGCAGGCGGUUUGUUAAGACAGAUGUGAAAUCCCCGGGCUCAACCUGGGAACUGCAUUUGUGACUGGCAGGCUAGAGUAUGGCAGAGGGGGGUGGAAUUCCGCGUGUAGCAGUGAAAUGCGUAGAUAUGCGGAGGAACACCGAUGGCGAAGGCAGCCCCCUGGGCCAAUACUGACGCUCAUGCACGAAAGCGUGGGGAGCAAACAGGAUUAGAUACCCCCGUAGUCCCUGUCUCUUAUAC
rnacentral:rRNA from 1 species